rnacentral:rRNA from 1 species
ACGAACGCUGGCGGCGUGCUUAACCCAUGCAAGUCGAACGGAAAGGCCCUGCUUUUGUGGGGUGCUCGAGUGGCGAACGGGUGAGUAACACGUGAGUAACCUGCCCUUGACUUUGGGAUAACUUCAGGAAACUGGGGCGAAUACCGGAUAGGAGCUCCUGCUGCAUGGUGGGGGUUGGAAAGUUUCGGCGGUUGGGGAUGGACUCGCGGCUUAUCAGCUUGUUGGUGGGGUAGUGGCUUACCAAGGCUUUGACGGGUAGCCGGCCUGAGAGGGUGACCGGCCACAUUGGGACUGAGAUACGGCCCAGACUCCUACGGGAGGCAGCAGUGGGGAAUAUUGCACAAUGGGCGGAAGCCUGAUGCAGCAACGCCGCGUGCGGGAUGACGGCCUUCGGGUUGUAAACCGCUUUCGCCUGUGACGAAGCGUGAGUGACGGUAAUGGGUAAAGAAGCACCGGCUAACUACGUG